CCAGCUUUGAAGCAAAGUUCGAAGAUGCAGUGAGGAUCUCCUGAUCUCUGUUUAGCCUUGCCUGCUGCAGCCUGCAAAAGCAGCCCUGGCUUUUUUUGGCCAUCAGGAGCUGCUCUGUAAUUCUGCCUGGAUUGUAUCUUUUUCUCCCUCCCUCAGGUGAAAGCUCAAAGCAGUCCCAAAGUGGCAGGUGAAGAUGGGGUGGCUGCUGCAUCUUUGCAGAGCCUGAACUCAGCCAGCUCAGGAAGUGGCUUUGCAGCCACCACAGCUUCACCCAUGGCUGGUGCAAUGCCAGCAGAGGUUGUAACUGGGGGAAAUGUGCUCUGAGAAAUGUCAUUAUAUACAGCAGAGAGGAAGGGAACAGAGAAGUAACCAAGCUUUUCAAUUGCAGUGUGGUUUUCAGCCCUGCUUGCCCAAUCCCUUUGCACCACUAGGCCCUCCUGCCAUGUGCCUUCACCAGGGCUGGCUGUGUGAGACAAGGAACACCAUGCUUUACAGCAAUAACCUCACAACAGUGGGCUUUUCUUCAUGAAACUAGUGAGGAAAAGGGUAAAGAACUCCAGUGCAGCUCAAUGUUAUGCACAGAUCUGAUCCAUGGGUGUUCCAGCAGGUGGACUUGGGCACCACCAGGGGCCUGGCUGCUGUAGCAGGAGGGAUCCAUCCACACCAGGUCAGCCAGAGCCAUUUUGAAGGGAAAACACAAUUUAAAAGUGAAGGGAGUGAGUCAUGUUGCCUGCUGGCAUAAAUGCAAAGUACUUAGGAGCAGGAAGUGUCUUUGUUUUUGUGCAGGGGAGUGUGCUCAGAACAGGUUAUCACUGAGGUGCAUUUCUGGCUAGCAAAAUAAGGGCUUGCUCCAGCAGCAUGACCAUCCUACCUGGCAGGGGGAAACAGUUUCAUGCAGUUCAGUAUCAGGUACCCAAGAUUUUGCUUUUUGUUUUUAACACUGUAUUUAACAACUCUGAAUCUUAAACCAGCAUUCUGCCACCUACUGCUCAUGAAAAUGCCAGAUGUGGUGUGUGCACAGCAGUCUCAUUUUGGACUCAAAAACCUCAUCAAAGCUCUCUGGGACUGGUGGUCUGGUCAGCUCUGUGCAGGUUGGGAAAAAUAUCCUGUGAGCUAUCUGAAUUGCCCUGCUGGGACUCUCAGUCAGUGUAAUGAUGUCUGCAGCACAGCCAGCUUUCUUGGAGAACAAAGUGCAGUUUCCUUUUGUGUGCUGAACAAACAAACAUUGUGCAGGAAUUGGUCCUAAAAGAAAUUUUUUUUUUUUAAAUAUCCAAGUCACUUUUUUUUUUUUUUUUUUUCCUUGGGAAUGCCUGUGACUGGUUUGUGAAACUCAAAACCCACAGAGAUAUCCAUGGUGGGAACAGACAACUAUUGCAAUAACAUCAGAGAUGGUUCUGCAGUUAAAAUUAAGCAUAGAAAUGUGUGAAAACUGGCAGCCUGCCUAGUGCCACAGUUCAUUAUGGAUUUGGUGUUUAGUACAGUUUGGGUAAGGAAUCAUCCUAACUCUCCUUUCUCCUUUAAUUAAAUGAGAGGUUUGCCAUUAGGCUCUGCUUGCUGUAACUCAUGUUUUGGGCUGAGCUUGUCCUGCCUGGUAAAUGGGAACACUGGAGAGAAACAAGGGAGAGAGAAAACAAGAAAACUGAAGUAUGUGCCUUUGCUGCUUAUCUGUCUCCAGGUACUAGCUCAUGGAAAGUUUUCACACUGACAGUGUCUUUCAGCAAUUCUGUUCCAGCUGUUGGAUGCUCAGUGCUUCACCGAGAAUCUGGACACAGAUUUGUCAUUGUGCUAUAAAUGGUCCACAUAUAAAGCCACAGCCAGAGCAUACAGACCGUGAAGUGUAGGGAAGGAAGAUAAGAUGAGAGGUGAGAGGAUAGCAGUAGCACCAAAUACAAAAGACAGAAUAUGAAUGCCAUGUUAAAUAAAAUCAUAUAUUUGGUGUCUGUACUCUGGUACCGGAGUGCCUUCAUGUUUAGGGAUGUAACAUUGUUGUGGGGAUUGAGUUCAAGUUUCUCCCUUCAUGCAGGGCAGGUUGUCACACAGGAACCAGGAAAAGGUAGGCUCUGUCCCUCCCAUCCUGCGGAGACCCCUGCAGAAGUCACUCCGCUCUGUAACCUCUUUCUGAAGACUAAGAACACAGGUUUAAAAGCCAGAAAACUUCUGGGAAACUGCUUGUGAGUCAGGAGUACCCAGGGGAUGAGUGUGGCUUUUCUUUGUAUUCCGAAUAAGCCAUUUAAACUUUGAAGUUUUCUCUCUUUCUCUAGAAUAAAAGCCACUUUCUGUUUAAACAUUUACAACUCUUCCUGUAGUCUGUGUUUUCCAUAAACCCUCAGAAACUCGACUGUCCCCAGGGCUUUCUGCUGGAGUAAUUUAACAGCCGUGCUGCAGAAAUGGCAAGGUAAGUAGCCCAGCUGAAGAUACAGUAGCCAAAACUCUUAUCUCAAGACCCAUUUCUUGGAGAAUUGCAUCAAUUUCCCUCAGUCAAUUAGGAGUCUUAUUUAUAAAUUCACAUACAAUACAGAAAGGAAAUUUGUUGCACUGUUGUGGAGAUCAGAGUUUCAAUGUGCUUUUUCUCCCUCCUUCUCCUGUUUAGAAAACUGGAGUCAGUUUGCAUGUGUCUGUGUCCCUCUUCUUAUUGCUGAGCCCGGCAUG